rnacentral:rRNA from 1 species
AGUGAACGCUGGCGGUAGGCCUAACACAUGCAAGUCGAACGGCAGCACAGUAUGAGCUUGCUCUUACGGGUGGCGAGUGGCGGACGGGUGAGGAAUACAUCGGAAUCUACUUUUUCGUGGGGGAUAACGUAGGGAAACUUACGCUAAUACCGCAUACGACCUACGGGUGAAAGCAGGGGAUCUUCGGACCUUGCGCGAUUGAAUGAGCCGAUGUCGGAUUAGCUAGUUGGCGGGGUAAAGGCCCACCAAGGCGACGAUCCGUAGCUGGUCUGAGAGGAUGAACAGCCACACUGGAACUGAGACACGGUCCAGACUCCUACGGGAGGCAGCAGUGGGGAAUAUUGGACAAUGGGCGCAAGCCUGAUCCAGCCAUACCGCGUGGGUGAAGAAGGCCUUCGGGUUGUAAAGCGCUUUUGUUGGGAAAGAAAAGCAGCAGGUUAAUACCCCGCUGUUCUGACGGUACCCAAAGAAUAAGCACCGGCUAACUUCGUG